rnacentral:rRNA from 1 species
AUUGAACGCUGGCGGCAGGCCUAACACAUGCAAGUCGAGCGGAUGAAGGGAGCUUGCUCCUGGAUUCAGCGGCGGACGGGUGAGUAAUGCCUAGGAAUCUGCCUGGUAGUGGGGGAUAACGUCCGGAAACGGGCGCUAAUACCGCAUACGUCCUGAGGGAGAAAGUGGGGGAUCUUCGGACCUCACGCUAUCAGAUGAGCCUAGGUCGGAUUAGCUAGUUGGUGGGGUAAAGGCCUACCAAGGCGACGAUCCGUAACUGGUCUGAGAGGAUGAUCAGUCACACUGAAAGUGAGACACGGCCCAGACUCCUAGGGGGGGCAGCGGUGGGGAAUAUUGGACAAUGGGGGAAAGCCUUAUCCAGCCAGGCCGGGGGUGUGAAGAAGGUUUUCGGAUUGUAAAGCCCUUUAAGUUGGGAGGAAGGGCAGUAAGUUAAUACCUUGCUGUUUUGGCUUUACCAACAGAAUAAGCACCGGCUAACUUCGU